CCAGACUCCUACGGGAGGCAGCAGUGGGGAAUAUUGGGCAAUGGGCGCAAGCCUGACCCAGCAACGCCGCGUGAAGGAAGAAGGCCCUCGGGUUGUAAACUUCUUUUGUCAGGGACGAAGAAAAUGACGGUACCUGACUAAGAAGCCCCGGCUAACUACGUGCCAGCAGCCGCGGUAAUACGUAGGGGGCAAGCGUUAUCCGGAUUUACUGGGUGUAAAGGGAGCGUAGACGGCAGUGCAAGUCCGGAGUGAAGGCCCGGGGCUCAACCCUGGGACUGCUCUGGAAACUGUAAAGCUGGAGUGCGGGAGGGGCAGGCGGAAUUCCUGGUGUAGCGGUGAAAUGCGUAGAUAUCAGGAGGAACACCGGCGGCGAAGGCGGCCUGCUGGACCGUAACUGACGUUGAGGCUCGAAAGCGUGGGGAGCAAACAGGAUUAGAUACCCCAGUAA
rnacentral:rRNA from 1 species